GACGAACGCUGGCGGCGUGCUUAACACAUGCAAGUCGAACGGAAAGGCCCUGCUUUUGUGGGGUGCUCGAGUGGCGAACGGGUGAGUAACACGUGAGUAACCUGCCCUUGACUUUGGGAUAACUUCAGGAAACUGGGGCUAAUACCGGAUAGGAGCUCCUGCUGCAUGGUGGGGGUUGGAAAGUUUCGGCGGUUGGGGAUGGACUCGCGGCUUAUCAGCUUGUUGGUGGGGUAGUGGCUUACCAAGGCUUUGACGGGUAGCCGGCCUGAGAGGGUGACCGGCCACAUUGGGACUGAGAUACGGCCCAGACUCCUACGGGAGGCAGCAGUGGGGAAUAUUGCACAAUGGGCGGAAGCCUGAUGCAGCAACGCCGCGUGCGGGAUGACGGCCUUCGGGUUGUAAACCGCUUUCGCCUGUGACGAAGCGUGAGUGACGGUAAUGGGUAAAGAAGCACCGGCUAACUACGUGCCAGCAGCCGCGGUGAUACGUAGGGUGCGAGCGUUGUCCGGAUUUAUUGGGCGUAAAGGGCUCGUAGGUGGUUGAUCGCGUCGGAAGUGUAAUCUUGGGGCUUAACCCUGAGCGUGCUUUCGAUACGGGUUGACUUGAGGAAGUUAGGGGAGAAUGGAAUUCCUGGUGGAGCGGUGGAAUGCGCAGAUAUCAGGAGGAACACCAGUGGCGAAGGCGGUUCUCUGGGCCUUUCCUGACGCUGAGGAGCGAAAGCGUGGGGAGCGAACAGGCUUAGAUACCCUGGUAGUCCACGCUGUAAACGGUGGGUACUAGGUGUGGGGUCCAUUCCACGGGUUCCGUGCCGUAGCUAACGCUUUAAGUACCCCGCCUGGGGAGUACGGCCGCAAGGCUAAAACUCAAAGGAAUUGACGGGGCCCCGCACAAGCGGCGGAGCAUGCGGAUUAAUUCGAUGCAACGCGUAGAACCUUACCUGGGUUUGACAUGGAUCGGGAGUGCUCAGAGAUGGGUGUGCCUCUUUUGGGGUCGGUUCACAGGUGGUGCAUGGCUGUCGUCAGCUCGUGUCGUGAGAUGUUGGGUUAAGUCCCGCAACGAGCGCAACCCUUGUUCACUGUUGCCAGCACGUUAUGGUGGGGACUCAGUGGAGACCGCCGGGGUCAACUCGGAGGAAGGUGGGGAUGACGUCAAGUCAUCAUGCCCCUUAUGUCCAGGGCUUCACGCAUGCUACAAUGGCUGGUACAGAGAGUGGCGAGCCUGUGAGGGUGAGCGAAUCUCGGAAAGCCGGUCUCAGUUCGGAUUGGGGUCUGCAACUCGACCUCAUGAAGUCGGAGUCGCUAGUAAUCGCAGAUCAGCAACGCUGCGGUGAAUACGUUCCCGGG
rnacentral:rRNA from 1 species